GGCAGUUCUUGGGUGACACACCCCAGAAUUGGGCUCCCUCCUCUCUGGUUCCAGGUGUGUCACCCAAGAACCACA
rfam:Myotis brandtii contig198577, whole genome shotgun sequence.